CAGCCACAGAGACCCAGAGACCCACACAUGGACAGGAGUUAUAGGAUGGGCAGAAGGACAAGGGGCAGCAAAAGUGACACUUGGUGGAGUAAGAGGCCCAGUGUGGGAGGGAGACGCAGCAGCCUGGCAGAAGCUGGGGACAGGGGAGCAUGGCAGGGCUUUCCAAGAGUCAGUGUGGGACCUGAGUAUUUAAAAAAGCCUUGGGUUUCACACUCAGGCCUAUUUUGGGGCUUGUUCCCACACAUCUCCGUCAGCAGCAGUGGCAGCUCCUGCGAGGUCCAGCCCAGCUCUCCCUUUCACAGCUGCUCCUUGCGCUGCUGGGGGAGGUUGCUGAGGUAUGGGGAAGAGGUACGCUGUCGCUAAGCAACAAGAGGCUGUGCACCUGGAGGUCCUAGGAGGAGACCCUGGCACCAUCGGUAUGGGGGAGGCAGGGAGACAGUAAAGGGUUGAUCAAGCUCAAGGCUCCCUCUCCCAUCCUCCCCAAGACAGUUACAGAGGAGGGAUGUACCCAUCGCUCAAGAAGCCUGUUGAAUUGGCUCACAAUCCUCCAGAAGGCUGCGAUUGUGCAUGCAAACCUGUGUGACAUUCCAUAGACUGAGAGUUGGAGAGGGCAGGGGCUAGGGCAUGAAAGACAAGGGUGAGCAUCUUUCACAUCAAUCUUGGAGGAAGGUCGAGGACUUGCCUGUCUGCUAAAAGG
rnacentral:lncRNA from 1 species